rnacentral:rRNA from 1 species
UACGUAGGGGGCAAGCGUUGUCCGGAAUCAUUGGGCGUAAAGAGCGUGUAGGCGGCCCGGUAAGUCCGCUGUGAAAGUCGGGGGCUCAACCCUCGAAUGCCGGUGGAUACUGUCGGGCUAGAGUGCGGAAGAGGCGAGUGGAAUUCCUGGUGUAGCGGUGAAAUGCGCAGAUAUCAGGAGGAACACCAAUAGCGAAGGCAGCUCGCUGGGACGGUACUGACGCUGAGGCGCGAAAGCGUGGGGAGCGAACAGG